GGCAGGGUGGGAGCAGCUGUGUCCUCUGAACGAGGGUGAGGCACCCCAGCCCUUGGCCCCUCCUGGCCCCCAGGCUCAACUUCUUGUUUCCUCCACUCAGGCUACGGCCCCCCCAGUGGCCUGGGAGCAGGAUUUGGGAACGGGAAUGGCCUGGGAGCCCAGCCAGGCAUUGGAGGGGGUGUGAAACCCCAGAAGCCAGGGUUUGGGAACGGAAAUGGGCUAGCAGCAGGGGCCUUCCCAGGUGCGGUCGCCCAGCCAGGUGUGGUCGCCCAGCCAGGGGCGGUGGCCCAGCCAGGUGCGGUGGGAGAAGAGGGAUGGGUCUGAC